GCCGCGGGGGAAAGGAGGAGAGACCUACAUUUAAAAAGGCAGGAACCAGCCUAGCGCCGAGAUCCAAAAAUGCCCGGGGAAACCUCCACUCACUGUGAACACGUUUAAAAGAUAUAAUCAGGGGAGCCAAGAUGGAAAUGGGCAAAAUGGCCAAGUUCAGCCAAGCGAUCUGUGCCACCAGACCUCAGCUGGAUACCAUCCAUGCACAGCUAACUGAGCCCCUGAUGACAUCACAGGAAGGCACCAUGGUCAACGUGCUUUGAAAGAGGAGUGACAGGCAUGUGCUCUCUGCAGAUGGUUCAGGCACACCACCGCCAACCUGGACAAUGAUUAACCCGGGGAAGGAUAAUCUCAGUCCGUGGGGUAGCAGUGAUCUCUACAAGAGGCUGGUUCUCACGCAGCCCGAGAGCCCUUUGCUCCUGACUGAUCCUUUCUCUCUCCCUGUCUUAUAUUUUCUCUUUCUCUCUUCCCUCCUUCCUCUCUCCCAUCUGCUUCUUGCUCUUUCUCCUGCCCUCCCCGUCCUUC